AUUGAACGCUGGCGGCAUGCCUUACACAUGCAAGUCGAACGGCAGCACGGACUUCGGUCUGGUGGCGAGUGGCGAACGGGUGAGUAAUGCGUCGGAACGUGCCGAGUAGUGGGGGAUAACGCAGCGAAAGUUGUGCUAAUACCGCAUACGUACUGAGGUAGAAAGUGGGGGACCUUCGGGCCUCACGCUAUUCGAGCGGCCGACGUCUGAUUAGUUAGUAGGUGAGGUAAAGGCUCACCUAGGCGACGAUCAGUAGCGGGUCUGAGAGGAUGAUACGCCACACUGGGACUGAGACACGGCCCAGACUCCUACGGGAGGCAGCAGUGGGGAAUUUUGGACAAUGGGCGAAAGCCUGAUCCAGCCAUGCCGCGUGUCUGAAGAAGGCCUUCGGGUUGUAAAGGACUUUUGUCAGGGAGGAAAUCCCUAGUGCUAAUAACACUGGGGGAUGACAGUACCUGAAGAAUAAGCACCGGCUAACUACGUGCCAGCAGCCGCCGUAA
rnacentral:rRNA from 1 species